AGUAAGAAAGAGAAAAGAUGGUGGGUGGGGUUACAAAAUGUACGUUUCAGUGAAAUGCGGGACAAGAACAGGACACAAGCUCUGGUCUCCUGGGUGGAA